rnacentral:rRNA from 1 species
AGAAUCAACGCUGGCGGCGUGCCUAACACAUGCAAGUCGAACGAGAAAGUGGAGCAAUCCAUGAGUAAAGUGGCGCACGGGUGAGUAACACGUGACUAACCUACCCUUGAGUGGGGGAUAACCUAAGGGAAACCUGGGCUAAUACCGCAUAAUACCGAGAGGUCAAAGGAGCAAUUCGCUUAAGGAGGGGUCGCGGCCGAUUAGUUAGUUGGCGGGGUAAUGGCCCACCAAGACUAUGAUCGGUA